rnacentral:lncRNA from 10 species
UCAGAUGUCACAUGAAAGUCUGUAAAUAUGAACCACACUCUACUGCCCAGUGAUGGAGAAACCUACUGACUGUGGUGCGCAGAUUCCUAAGACGCCCUCAUGGUAUCCAUGUCCGCAUCAUCUCCUCCCCCUUGAGAGUGGGCUGAACCUGUGACUGGCCUCUAACCAACAGGCUAUCGUGAAGGUGAGUACUUUAAAAGAGGGCCUGGAGGAGAGAGACCCUUCCUGCUGUCUUUGAAGCAGCAAGCCUCCAUCAGUUCUGCAGCUACAAGAAAAUGAGUUCUGCCAACAACCAAGUGAGCACUGAAGAGGACCCUGAGCAUCAGAGGACAGCCUAGCCCUGGCCAAUGCCUUCAUUGCAGCACUGUGAGACCCGAACAAAAGAUCCAGCUAAUGCAUGUUCAGAAUUCUGAUUCCAGGAAACUGUGGAAUAAUAAAUGCUCCUAUGUUAAGC